rnacentral:rRNA from 1 species
GGAAAAGUAGUAGAUAUGGGCAACCCGUGAAUGGCUGGCCUAUUGAUUUAGUGGGAGUCAACAGACUAAAAGUUUUAAAAUGAAAAACAACCCACAGAUAAAAAUCCAUGUAAAAAAAAGAUCCGAACUGAUUCAUCUAAGUAGGAUCUUAAGGGUUCAUUAAUGAACCUUUAAAUAAAUCAAAAUGAGAAUCACUUUAGUAGUGGCGAACGAACAAGUUAUUUGUUAGCUAAUAAACAUAGAAGGAAUAGAUCCAAAUCCUGUAUGGCUUAACAAGAUUUAGAGUAAAACUUACAAAAAAAGUUUGAAGAACGAGGAAAUCCUCGAAAUCAAAAGAAAAAUCAAUAGGCGAGAGCGAAAAGUACCGUGAGGGAAAGCUGAGAAAGGUUCAUUAUACAUGACACGAAAAAGAGAUUAUUUAUCUCGAGGAAGAAAUAUCCUGAAACGGGUUGUCGGCAGCGUAAGCUUCAUAUUGAAGCAAACGUUUACCUUUUGCAUAAGGGGCCUGCAACUUUAUUUUUCUAGUGAGCACCCUUAAAGGGAAGCCUAGUAAAUGCGAAGCCUAAUAGGCUGUAGAAUUAGAAAAAUAAGGCCCGAAACCAGAUGAUCUAGACGAGGCCAGGUAAAGAUAUAUAGGUAUGUAGUGUAAAAUCUCAUAUUUUGAAUUAAGGACCGAACCGGUGACUGUUGCAAUAGUCUCGGAUGAGCUUCGUCUUGGAGUGAAAGACUAACCGUAUCUGGAGAUAGCUGGUCUACCACGAAAGCUAUUGAAGUAGCAUUAUUAUUCAUAAUUUCUUCUAGGUGAAUUAAAGGUCUGCUUGACUGACUUAACUCUCAAUGAGAAGAAAUACAGAUAAUAGGACUGACUCUGGGGGAUAAGCUUCAGAGUCUAACAGGAAAGAGCCUAAUACUAUUAAUAAGGUCUCUAAUAGAAGUUGACAGGUAUUGAGGAAGUUCAAGGGUAUAGUUUACCACUGGGUGAGCAUGGAAGUUGCUAUCCCUAAGAGAACGUGUAACAACGCAAAGGUCGAAUAUAAUCAACCCCGAGCAUCAUAAAUUAACGAGCCUAAACUUCUGACCGAUUUAUAGUUUUUAUAUUGAUAUGUUUAUCUUAUCAUAUAUUAGGUAGUGGUACAUGUCAUAAAUUGACAGAGAGAAUGCAGGUGUGAGUAUGUAUAAAUGAAGUGAGAAAUCUUCAUGGUCUGAUAUCCAAGGUUUUCGAUGAGAAGGUCAACUUCGUCGAGUAAAACGGCUCCAAACCUAUACUUGUAUUUGGGAUGGAAUAAAAAUUUAUUUUUAAUAACCGUACUGAAAACCGACACUGGUGGAUAGAUCGCGUAGAUCAAGACUUAGGGAGAACCAUUCAGAAGGAACUCGGCAAAAUGACUCCGUAACUUCGGAAGAAGGGGUACAACCUUUAAAUCAUAAAAGAAAACGCAAGUAAUCUCUGAUUUUUAGGGAUGUGACACAAAAUCGGGAGGUGGAACUGUUUACUUAAAACUUCACUCUCUGCAAUCUGAAAAAGAUAGUAUAGGGAGUAACUUCUGCCCGGUGCCAAUACGUGAAAAUCGCCAUUGAACUAGUGAGUUUUCGGAUUAUGCUAGUUAAAUGGGAGAUAAACUUUGGUAAACGGCGGUCUUAACCAUAAGGAUCCAAAGGUAGCGAAAUUCCUCGGCUAUUAAUUGUAGUCCCGCAUGAAUGAAGUAAUCACACCUCCACUGUCUCCUGAAUGGACCCUACGAAAUCACAUUGGUUGUGCAGAUGCAACCACAUCCUAGAGUGACGGAAAGACCCUAUGCAGCUUUACUGUUAUCUAAUAAGAACCUCUCAUAUAUUUAAUACUAUAUGAGAAUAAUUGUUUGAGAGACAGUUUGAUUGGGGUGAUCGCCUUCUAAAAAGUAACGAAGGUGUGCAAAGGUAGGCCUUACGCAUAAUGGCUUAUGCCUGCUUGACUGUAAGAAUCACAAUUCGAACAGAGAGAAUUUUAUUUCUUGAGAAAUAAUUUUACUCCGCCAUAGUGACCCGGUAAUAUUAGUUACCGAUCAACGAAUAAAAGUUACGCUAGGGAUAACAGCUUAGUCCUAAGUUAGAGUUCAAAUCGACCUUAGGGUUCGGGACCUCGAUGUCGACUCUUCCCAACCUGGUUGAGCAGGAGCUUCCAAGGGUGCAAUUGUUCAUUGCAUAAAGGGGAACGUGAGUUGGGUUAACAACGUCGUGAGACAGUUGGGAUCCUAUCUUCUAGGAUAAUCAAUAGCAAAAGAGCCCUACCUUCGUACGAGAGGAUCAGGGAGGUAAAACCACUAGUAAUCCAGUUCUUUUUUAGCGCUGGGUAGCUACGUUUUGAAUAGAGAACCGCUGAAACCAUCUGAAGCGGGAAACUUUUCUUUUCUAUUGGCGUGUCAGGUAGAACACCUGAAGAGACUUAAAUGUAAUUACCGUGAGGUAUUGAGUUUAUUCUCUUGUAACACUGUAUACUACUUUUCC